rnacentral:rRNA from 1 species
AGAGUUUGAUCCUGGCUCAGGACGAACGCUGGCGGUGCGCCUAACACAUGCAAGUCGAACGGUGAACCGGGCUUCGGCCCGGGGAUCAGUGGCGAACGGGUGCGUAACACGUGGGCAACCUGCCCCCGACCCUGGGAUAACCCCGGGAAACCGGAGCUAAUACCGGAUACUCUCCUCCGACCACAUGGUCAGAAGAGGAAAGGUCCGCCGGUCGGGGAUGGGCCCGCGGCCUAUCAGCUUGUUGGUGGGGUAACGGCCUACCAAGGCGACGACGGGUAGCUGGUCUGAGAGGACGACCAGCCACACUGGGACUGAGACACGGCCCAGACUCCUACGGGAGGCAGCAGUGGGGAAUCUUGCGCAAUGGGCGAAAGCCUGACGCAGCGACACCGCGUGGGGGAUGAAGGCCUUUCAGGUCGUAAACCCCUUUCGGCAGGGACGAAGCGAUCUCGUGACGGUACCUGCAGAAGAAGCCUCGGCUAACUACGUGCCAGCAGCCGCGGUAACACGUAGGAGGCGAGCGUUGUCCGGAAUCAUUGGGCGUAAAGAGCGCGCAGGCGGCUUGGCAAGUCGGGUGUGAAAUCCCGGGGCUCAACCCCGUGACUGCAUCCGAUACUGUCAGGCUAGAGGUAGGUAGGGGAGAUCGGAAUUCCUGGUGUAGCGGUGAAAUGCGCAGAUAUCACGAGGAACACCGGUGGCGAAGGCGGAUCUCUGGGCCUUACCUGACGCUCAGGCGCGAAAGCUAGGGGAGCGAACAGGAUUAGAUACCCUGGUAGUCCUACCGUAAACCUUGGGUGCUUGGUGUGGGCGGAUAUCAACCCCGUCCGUGCCGAAGCUAACGCAUUAAGCACCCCGCCUGGGGAGUACGGCCGCAAGGCUAAACUCAAAGGAAUGACGGAAGGCGAAUCGUACCCGCC